GACGAACGCUGGCGGCGUGCCUAAUACAUGCAAGUCGAACGAAACUUUCUUACACCGAAUGCUUGCAUUCACCGUAAGAAGUUGAGUGGCGGACGGGUGAGUAACACGUGGGUAACCUGCCUAAAAGAAGGGGAUAACACUUGGAAACAGGUGCUAAUACCGUAUAUCUCUAAGGAUCGCAUGAUCCUUAGAUGAAAGAUGGUUCUGCUAUCGCUUUUAGAUGGACCCGCGGCGUAUUAACUAGUUGGUGGGGUAACGGCCUACCAAGGUGAUGAUACGUAGCCGAACUGAGAGGUUGAUCGGCCACAUUGGGACUGAGACGCGGCCCAAACUCCUACGGGAGGCAGCAGUAGGGAAUCUUCCACAAUGGACGCAAGUCUGAUGGAGCAACGCCGCGUGAGUGAAGAAGGUCUUCGGAUCGUAAAACUCUGUUGUUAGAGAAGAACACGAGUGAGAGUAACUGUUCAUUCGAUGACGGUAUCUAACCAGCAAGUCACGGCUAACUACGUGCCAGCCGCCGCGGUA
rnacentral:rRNA from 1 species